CCUGGCGGCAGUAGCGCGGUGGUCCCACCUUACCCCAUGCCGAACUCAGAAGUGAAACGCCGUAGCGCCGAUGGUAGUGUGGGGUCUCCCCAUGCGAGAGUAGGGAACUGCCAGGC
rnacentral:rRNA from 1 species